rnacentral:rRNA from 1 species
CGAGCGAAGUCUUCGGACUUAGCGGCGGACGGGUGAGUAACGCGUGGGAACAUACCCUUUGGUACGGAAUAGCCUCGGGAAACUGGGAGUAAUACCGUAUGUGCCCUUCGGGUGAAAGAUUUAUCGCCCCUAGAUGGGCCCGCGUUGGAUUAGCUAGUUGGUGGGGUAAAGGCCUACCAAGGCAACGAUCCAUAGCUGGUCUGAGAGGAUGAUCAGCCACACUGGGACUGAGACACGGCCCAGACUCC